GUAUCGUUGUCCUGUAGACACAAU
rnacentral:siRNA from 1 species